rnacentral:rRNA from 1 species
CAACGAGCGCAACCCCUAUCUUAUGUUGCCAGCACGUUAUGGUGGGGACUCGUAAGAGACUGCCGGGGUCAACUCGGAGGAAGGUGGGGACGACGUCAAGUCAUCAUGCCCCUUAUGUCCAGGGCUUCACACAUGCUACAAUGGCCAGUACAGAGGGCUGCGAGACCGUGAGGUGGAGCGAAUCCCUUAAAGCUGGUCUCAGUUCGGAUCGGGGUCUGCAACUCGACCCCGUGAAGUCGGAGUCGCUAGUAAUCGCAGAUCAGCAACGCUGCGGUGAAUACGUUCCCGGGCCUUGUACACACCGCCCGUCACGUCAUGAAAGUCGGUAACACCCGAAGCCGGUGGCUUAACCCCUUGUGGGAGGGAGCCGUUCGAAGGUGGGACCCGAAGGCCGUCAUCCCUCACCGGCGUCGCUGCAUCAGGCUUUCGCCCAUUGUGCAAUAUUCCCCACUGCUGCCUCCCGUAGGAGUCUGGGCCGUGUCUCAGUCCCAGUGUGGCCGGUCACCCUCUCAGGUCGGCUACCCGUCGUCGCCUUGGUAGGCCAUUACCCCACCAACAAGCUGAUAGGCCGCGGGCCCAUCCUGCACCGAUAAAUCUUUCCACCACCCACCAUGCGACAGGAGGUCAUAUCCGGUAUUAGACCCAGUUUCCCAGGCUUAUCCCGAAGUGCAGGGCAGAUCACCACGUGUUACUCACCCGUUCGCCGCUCGUGUACCCCGAAAGGCCUUACCGCUCGACUUGCAUGUGUU